rnacentral:lncRNA from 1 species
AAAUCUCCAUUCUAACUCGUUUUCUUCCGAAACUUAAUGAGUGCUUUUGUAAUUAAAAUACACACAAAAAUAUCGUCAACAGAGAGUUUAGCUAUACUGCCAAAAUCUCAGUCCUUACAUAAUCCCCUCUUAAAGGAAGUUUCAUCUCCGAAACUUGCUUACACACCACCGAAAAUAAUUCCAGAUAUCACUCCACUAACGCACCAAGCACAACU